rnacentral:rRNA from 1 species
AGAUUGGAAUUCCUGGUGUAGCGGUGGAAUGCGCAGAUAUCAGGAGGAACACCGAUGGCGAAGGCAGAUCUCUGGGCCGUAACUGACGCUGAGGAGCGAAAGGGUGGGGAGCAAACAGGCUUAGAUACCCUGGUAGUCCACCCCGUAAACGUUGGGAACUAGUUGUGGGGUCCAUUCCACGGAUUCCGUGACGCAGCUAACGCAUUAAGUUCCCCGCCUGGGGAGUACGGCCGCAAGGCUAAAACUCAAAGGAAUUGACGGGGACCCGCACAAGCGGCGGAGCAUGCGGAUUAAUUCGAUGCAACGCGAAGAACCUUACCAAGGCUUGACAUAUACGAGAACGGGCUAGAAAUAGUCAACUCUUUGGACACUCGUAAACAGGUGGUGCAUGGUUGUCGUCAGCUCGUGUCGUGAGAUGUUGGGUUAAGUCCCGCAACGAGCGCAACCCUCGUUCUAUGUUGCCAGCACGUAAUGGUGGGAACUCAUGGGAUACUGCCGGGGUCAACUCGGAGGAAGGUGGGGAUGACGUCAAAUCAUCAUGCCCCUUAUGUCUUGGGCUUCACGCAUGCUACAAUGGCCGGUACAAAGGGCUGCAAUACCGUGAGGUGGAGCGAAUCCCAAAAAGCCGGUCCCAGUUCGGAUUGAGGUCUGCAACUCGACCUCAUGAAGUCGGAGUCGCUAGUAAUCGCAGAUCAGCAACGCUGCGGUGAAUACGUUCCCGGGUCUUGUACACACCGCCCGUCAAGUCAUGAAAGUCGGUAACACCUGAAGCCGG